GAUGAACGCUAGCGGCAGGCUUAACACAUGCAAGUCGAGGGGCAGCGCGGGAUAGCAAUAUCCUGGCGGCGACCGGCGGAAGGGUGCGUAACGCGUGAGCGACAUGCCCGUUGCCCGGGGACAACCGGUGGAAACGCCGACUAAUCCCCGAUGGGAUACGAUGCUUCAUGGCAUUGUAUUGAAAGUUACGGCGGCGACGGAUUGGCUCGCGUCCGAUUAGCUGGUUGGCGGGGUAACGGCCCACCAAGGCUGCGAUCGGUAGGGGUUCUGAGAGGAAGGCCCCCCACAAUGGGACUGAGACACGGCCCAUACUCCUACGGGAGGCAGCAGUGAGGAAUAUUGGUCAAUGGGCGGAAGCCUGAACCAGCCAUGCCGCGUGCGGGAAGGAGGCCCUAUGGGCUGUGAACCGCUUUUGCCUGGGGGCAAUAAGGGCGUCGCGCACGUCCGAUGAGAGUACCAGGCGAAUAAGCAUCGGCUAACUCCGUG
rnacentral:rRNA from 1 species